rnacentral:rRNA from 1 species
GCCGCGGUAAUACGUAGGGUGCGAGCGUUAAUCGGAAUUACUGGGCGUAAAGCGUGCGCAGGCGGCUUUGUAAGACAGGUGUGAAAUCCCCGGGCUUAACCUGGGAACUGCGCUUGUGACUGCAAGGCUUGAGUGUGGCAGAGGGGGGUGGAAUUCCACGUGUAGCAGUGAAAUGCGUAGAGAUGUGGAGGAACACCGAUGGCGAAGGCACGCCCCCUGGGUCAACACUGACGCUCAUGCACGAAAGCGUGGGUAGCAAACAGGAUUAGAUACCCUGGUAGUCCACGCCCUAAACGAUGCCAAGVVGGUGUUGGGGAAGGAGACUUCCUUAGUACC